AGAAAGUUGUUCCUUUGAUGGAUGUGUUGAAGAAGAACGUCAAAGAGAUUUGGUCGGAAAAAUUCUGGGCUGCAUUUGGUGUGUUGAAAGAAUCCAUUGCCUCAGAAUUGUUUACUCAAAGAAAGUUGUUCCUUUAAUGGAUGUGUUGAAGAAGAACAUUAAAGGGAUUUGGUCGGAAAAAUUCUGGGCUGCAUUUGGUGUCUGGAAAGAAUCCAUUGCCUCAGAACCAAUCGUGCGGCUUGCUGAGUUUGAGUUACUGUUUGAAGUGCAUACAUAUACGUCUGACAAGGCUGUUGGAGGCGUAUUGGUUCAAGAAGGUCAUCCUGUGGCCUUUGAAAUAAGAAUGUUGAAUGAAGCAGAACAAAGGUAUUCGUCUCAUGAGGAGGAAGUCUUUGUUGCUGGUUAUUCCCUUAUGGGACUUGAGUUAGAUUUUUUUGAUAAAUUCAAGUCAGAUGCUAUGAAUGAUCCAUUGUACAUAAACACAAUGAAUCAUACGAAGGAAGGUACUGUGCGACGGUACUGGAUCAAGGGCAACAAGGUAUUGCUUGAUAGAACCUUGGUUGCGAGAUAUGGUGGUCCGUUCGAAGAGCAAAUCGAGGGCUACUUGAGAUUAACCUCGACGAGGGCGUCGAGUUCAAUUGGUUGGGGUGGUUUGUUACAACACCAAAUAUUGACAUGGCGGAUGUCGGGCAGAACUCAUGUUAUUGAGAUUAACCUCGGCGAGGUCGUCGAGUUCAAUUGGUGGGGGUGGUUUGUUACGACCCCAAAUAUUGAUAUGAGGGAUGUCGGGCAGAAUUCAUGUUGAGGGCUUGUGCAUUGCCCCUUGACAUGGCUUCGUUGAAGCGUUGACAAGCAAUGUACAAGGCUGGAGUGUUGGCAAGCUGGCCUUAGUUCGUGGGCAUCGGCUAUGGCAAAUGGAAGCAUGGCACUUGACAAAGGCAGGCGCGGAUCUGUGGGACGACUUAAUUAAUAGCAAGGCGUGGCGAUGAAAUUGAGGGCGAGGCAAGGUCCUAGGCGGCCUUGGUUCGUGGGCAUCGGCUAUGGCAAAUGGAAGCAUGGCACUUGACAAAGGCAUGUGCGGAUCUGUGGGACGACUUAAUUUAUAGAAAGGCGUGGCUAUGAAAUUGAGGGCGAGGCAAAGUCCAAGGCAAAGCCGGGAAAAGGUAUGCACGAAUCAGUGGGACGACUUGAUUCAUAGUAGGGCGUUGCUAUGAAAUUAAGGGCGAGGCAAGGUCCAAGGCAUGCGCGGGGCAAAGGCAUGCGCGGAUCGGUGGGACAACUUAAUUCAUAGCAGGGCGUGGCUAUGGAAUAAAGGGCGAGGCAAGGUCCAAGGCAAAGCUGGGCUAGAGACAAGGAAAACGUGGGCAAGGCUAGAGGCCAUCGUGCAUGGCAUGUGAUGGAGAGGUGGGAAGGACAUGUGCUGGAAGUUGAAGACAUGAUCUAAGAACAUGGGUGGUUGGCUACAAAGUGGAAGACAUGGUAGCAACUACACCACCUAAACUGCCUUAGGCAGCCCCUUUAUAUAGAUUGCUUCUCCGUCUGUGCAGAAGGCACGUAACAUUACAUAUGUGAGCCAAGUCUAAAAAUAGUGUCCUUUGUAUAUUCUGCGAGAAUUAAUAAAGGUUGUGUUUUACCCGUAUAUUCUGUGUGUGUUCUUAGUUUCGCUAAAGUCUGAAAAUCCUAAGUCAGACUGUGUGUUUGUGGGAAAAGUGAAGGCUGAAGUGGCUGUGAGCUGCUGCCGUGCAAUAUCUAUUUUUGCGAAAAAUUGACCCUGUAACAGUAGGCCACUAUCCUACCAUCGAAAGUUGAUAGAGCAGAAAUUUGAAUGAUGCGUCGCCGGCACGAUGGCCGUACGAUCCGCGAGUUAUCAUGAAUCAUCGCAGCAACCGGCAGAGCCCGCGUCGACCUUUUAUCUAAUAAAUGCAUCCCUUCCAGAAGUCGGGGUUUGUUGCACGUAUUAGCUCUAGAAUUACUACGGUUAUCCGAGUAGUAGAUACCAUCAAACAAACUACAACUGAUUUAAUGAGCCAUUAGCAGUUUCACAGUCUGAAUUUGUUCAUACUUACACAAGCAUGGCUUAAUCUUUGAGAAAAGCAUAUGACUACUGGCAGGAUCAACCAAGUAGCAUUCCUCAUUGACGCCAGCGUCGCAUGAGCAUGGCCGACCCAAAAGGGCACCACCAAGUCCAAGGCGAGCACGAACGUCAUUCGUAUGGAGCAUUCUUUGGGCAGAUAGAUGCCAAUGAAGGCCCCGUGCCCAUUGCGUUUACCGAAUUCGAGAGCCCGAGCAUGCUAAGUCGUGGACCAAACCAUCGCAAUGCGAAGCCAGGACGACCUGGGACACAACUGCAACUUUUGGUUCACCCAGCACGUCGAACGCGAGGAGCGAAAGGCGAUCGAUUGUGAUUGAUAAUGCCUUGGCAUUAGGUAUGCAACACAGAAAACCGACGUUGAACAAGACUAAUUUGCGCUUACUGAGAUGGAAUGCGAGCUAGGACGUCGCUGCUCGAGCAGGGAUCCAACCUAGCCACACAAGCCAAACACCACUCAUGUGCCGCACGUACACUUGACUCGCCGAUACAAAGCCAACACCAGCCCCAACACGUGACGCGCAGCCAUGUGUUGUUGCCGAUGCCAACAUUAGUUAGCAGGCUGAGGUCUCGUUCUUUAACGGAAUUAACCAGACAAAUCGCUCCACCAACUAAGAACGGCCAUGCACCACCACCCAUAGAAUCAAGAAAGAGCUCUCAGUCUGUCAAUCCUUACUAC
rnacentral:lncRNA from 1 species